AGGUGGCAGUGGCGCGCGCGCUGCGCAUGCGCCAUGGGGGGACGGGGCGGGGGCGCUUCCGGAAAUGGCGGCGGGCUGGGGGCGGGUGGUCGCCCGCCCUGCGCGGGGCCUUCCUGGCCCGGCCCUCGCCCCCCUCCGGCACUGCCCGGCGCCCCGGGGCAGACGGGGAGGCUCCGUGCACUCCGCUCUGCCGGCGGGCGGCCCCGGGUGCGCCGCCCUGGGCCUCCGGUAGCGGCCUGCAGCCCCCCGUACGGGGUCCUGUGUGUGCUGGUAACGCGCCUGCUGUGGGGCUUCAUGUGGCCUUGGAAGUUCUAAGGUGGGGACAACUCUACUCCAGACACUUCAGACUGAUCACUGCUUGUCUUGCUGAAUCUCCAGGUUUGGGACUUCGUGUUCCUGCAUACAACUCUUCUUAUUACCUUAAUGUUAACCUUAUCAUUAAAAAGCUGUGAUUUAA